rnacentral:tRNA from 1 species
AGGGAUGUAGCUCAGCAGAACAGCACUUGCCUGGCAAGUGAGAGGCCCUAAGUUUGAUUCCUGGUAUCCCCC